ACCGGCAGCCAUAUCACCCUGUAGCCCAAGACUGGUUGCCCACUGAAGCUAAGCAGGGCUGAGCCUGGUCAGUACCUGGAUGGGAGACCUCCUGGGAAAACUAGGUUGCUGCUGGAA
ensembl:rRNA 5S_rRNA 5S ribosomal RNA